rnacentral:rRNA from 1 species
UACGGAGGGUGCAAGCGUUAUCCGGAUUCACUGGGGUUAAAGGGUGCGUAGGUGGGGAGGUAAGUCAGCGGUGAAAUCCCCGAGCUUAACUUGGGAACUGCCAUUGAUACUAUCUCUCUUGAAUACCUUGGAGGUAAGCGGAAUAUGUCAUGUAGCGGUGAAAUGCUUAGAUAUGACAUAGAACACCAAUUGCGAAGGCAGCUUACUACACGGUCAUUGACGCUGAGGCACGAAAGCGUGGGGAGCGAACAGG